rnacentral:rRNA from 1 species
CCUACGGGAGGCAGCAGUGAGGAAUAUUGGUCAAUGGACGAGAGUCUGAACCAGCCAAGUAGCGUGAAGGAUGACUGCCCUAUGGGUUGUAAACUUCUUUUAUAUGGGAAUAAAAUGUUCCACGUGUGGGAUUUUGUAUGUACCAUAUGAGUAAGGAUCGGCUAACUCCGUGCCAGCAGCCGCGGUAAUACGGAGGAGCCGAGCGUUAUCCGGAUUUAUUGGGUUUAACGGGAGCGUAGGUGGAUUGUUAAGUCAGUUGUGAAAGUUUGCGGCUCAACCGUAAAAUUGCAUUUGAAACUGGCAGUCUUGAGUACAGUAGAGGUGGGCGGAAUUCGUGGUGUAGCGGUGAAAUGCUUAGAUAUCACGAAGAACUCCGAUUGCGAAGGCAGCUCACUGGACUGCAACUGACACUGAGGCGCGAAAGUGUGGGUAGCAAACAGGAUUAGAUACCCUAGUAGUC